rnacentral:rRNA from 1 species
AAACUUUCAACAACGGAUCUCUUGGCUCUCGCAUCGAUGAAGAACGCAGCGAAAUGCGAUAAGUAAUGUGAAUUGCAGGAUUCCGUGAAUCAUAAAUCUUGAACGCAAAUGCACUCC